CCUACGGGAGGCAGCAGUGAGGAAUAUUGGUCACUGGGCGAGAGUCUGAACCAGCCAAGCCGCGUGAAGGAAGACUGUCCUAUGGGUUGUAAACUUCCUUUAUAAAGGAACAAAACCAGGCACUUGUCCCUUUUUGCAUGUACUUGAAGAAUAAGGAUCGGCUAACUCCGUGCCAGCAGCCGCGGUAAUACGGAGGAUGCGGGCGUUAUCCGGAUUUAUUGGGUUUAAAGGGUGCGUAGUCGGGUUGUUAAGUCAGGUGUGAAAGUUUGCGGGUCAACCGUAACAGUGCCAUUGAUACUGGCGGUCUUGAGUACAGGAGAGGUAGGCGGAAUGCGUGGUGUAGCGGUGAAAUGCUUAGAUAUCACGAAGAACCCCGAUUGCGAAGGCAGCGUACUAACCUCUGACUGACAUUGAUGCUCGAAAGUGUGGGUAUCAAACAGGAUUAGAUACCCGAGUAGUC
rnacentral:rRNA from 1 species